CUACGUGCCAGCAGCCGCGGUAAUACGUAGGUGGCGAGCGUUAUCCGGAAUUAUUGGGCGUAAAGGGUGCGUAGGCGGCCUGUUAAGUAAGUGGUUAAAUUGUUGGGCUCAACCCAAUCCAGCCACUUAAACUGGCAGGCUAGAGUAUUGGAGAGGCAAGUGGAAUUCCAUGUGUAGCGGUAAAAUGCGUAGAUAUAUGGAGGAACACCAGUGGCGAAGGCGACUUUCUGGACGAAAACUGACGCUGAGGCGCGAAAGCCAGGGGAGCGAACGGGAUUAGAUACCCCGGUAGUCCUGGCCGUAAACGAUGGGUACUAGGUGUAGGAGGUAUCGACCCCUUCUGUGCCGGAGUUAACGCAAUAAGUACCCCGCCUGGGGAGUACGACCGCAAGGUUGAAACUCAAAUGAAUUGACGGGGGCCCGCACAAGCGGUGGAGCAUGUGGUUUAAUUCGAUGCAACGCGAAGAACCUUACCUACUCUUGACAUCCAGAGAACAUUC
rnacentral:rRNA from 1 species